GCAUUUGCUAGAUAUUGUUUGCCGCCAUUCUGAAAAUCGUCACUGUAAGAGACUGUUGUGCAGAUGUUGCGUCGCACCUUAAAACAUUCUGAAUUCUUUUUGGCAGAUUUGAUUAUCCCACUUUUGAGAAAAUAAAAAAAAAUUUUAGUGGCACCGGCUGUGGGGAACGCUUUAACAAUUUUGAUAAAUUCGUCCUUCAGGUGACAGAAAAAGAUGUACCUCAAUACGUAACACCAUUCGAAGAAACCUGUCUGCGCCAUCCACUACUUCAAAGCAUUAAAAAUUCUGGCUACGUAAAACCAACACCUGUUAAGAAAGCUUCAGUUGCAGGUAUUCUUGCCAAAAGAGAUUUAAUGGGUUGUGCUGUCACGGGCUCUGGCAAAACAGUAAUCCAAUUAAUUAACGCUCAGUAAUUUUGAAACCACUACAAGGUCCAAUUGCAUCUAAGGUGGUGUACUUGGAACGGUUUUGAACAUUGUUAGAACAAGGUGUUGCUGCUGCGUCUCAUGCCAUGGAGCAAAAGCCAGAAGUUACCCACUCGUGAAUUGGCCAUUCUAAGUCACUGCUACACCAUGGCGACUGAUGUUCCUGCCCUUGGUUUAGGUUAUGCUUUAUGGGUUCUUCGUUCGUUUUUUACGUAUUUGAUGUUUGUAUUGUUUUUCCUAGAUACUGCUGGCGUCAACUAUGUCGUAAAUUAUGAUUUGCCAACUGAAAUUGAAGAGUAUGUUCAUCGUGUUGGUCGAACGGGCCGCGUGGGAAAUGUUGGAAAAUCAAUAAGGUUCUUUGACGAAGAAAGAGAUGGGCCUAACGCUGGAAAGUUUGUGUCUUUGUUAACUUGGUCCAACGCCGAUGUACCGCUAUUCAUGCAAGCGAUGUUUUAUUUAAUUAGUCUUUGCGAAAUGGAUUGGAAAGAGUGGACGACGGAAUAGUACAGCUGCCCAACUUCCGAAUGGUGCAAUAUGCAUCUAACGCUUCCAAUUCCGGAUUGUGUUGUCGCAACAGGAUGGUUGAGCACGUUUCUCAGCCAUUUUGCUUUGUGUUACUUAUCUGUCUUAGUAUUUGCUUUUCUUCGUAAAUGUGUGAAGUUAUUAGCUUUUAAGUUCUCGAAAAAAUUACACAGAGAUCAGUGUUGAGGGGGUGGGGCAGGGUAGUAUGAUGUAAAUAUGAAAAUAAUUUGUUCGGUAGAUUGGGGUAGGUGGUGCCAAUCAAACCGUAACUUGCGUGGUGGCAAUGUUUGAUUAGGGAGUUGGUUGAUUUAGUAAAGUUUCCAACUUUUGUAGGCUGAAGGUGAGGUAGGGUAGAUUCAAGGAUAACGAACGUUAACAUCAUUUACCCUGACGCAUCUACCACAUGUUUCUUUCUUGCAAUAGGUAAAUGUGUGUAAGUAUUGCGAAAUUUAAACGAAAAGAAACCAUACACCAUGUGCAGGUAAAAGUAUAAUUAAAUUAUAAUAAAAGCAGCUUAUGUUGAAAUCUAACCAAAUGUUGGUAAGUUAAAUACACUGACGUUGGUAGUUUUCCAUUCAUGUGUAUAAAAACGCAUAGUUCUAUUAUGUAACACUUAAAUAUGUAAAGCCAAUUUUAUUUAUUACCUUAUCUUUUCCAGGUUAGAUCCAAGCAUAAUAUAAGUGCUAUAAUUGCCCGAGCAACCCUUCAAACUUUCGUUUUGUAUUUAACCCUAAAAGCAUGUAUGACUACCAUUUUACUUAGGAUUGAAUUGAAUCAUCUUUAAAUGGACAACUUGA